rnacentral:rRNA from 1 species
CUACGGGCCGCACCAGUGAGGGAUAUUGGACAAUGGGGGAAACCCUGAUCCAGCGAUGCCGCGUGAAUGAUGAAGGUCUAAGGAUUGUAAAGUUCUUUCGCCUGUGAUGAUGAUGACAGUAGCAGGUAAAGAAGCCCUGGCAAACUUCGUGCCAGCAGCCGCGGUAAUACGGGGAGGGCAAGUGUUGUUCGGAAUGACUGGGCGUAAAGGGUGCGUAGGCUGUCUUUUAAGUGAGAUGUGAAAUCUCUGAGCUUAACUCAGAAAUUGCAUUUCAUACUGGAAGACUUGAGGGUAGUAGAGGAAACGGGAAUUCCUAGUGUAGAGGUGAAAUUCGUAGAUACUAGGAGGAACACCAGAGGCGAAGGCGAGUUUCUGGGCUACAUCUGACGUUGAGGCACGAAAGCGUGGGGAGCAAACAGGAUUAGAUACCCCAGUAGUC